CCUACGGGUGGCAGCAGUGGGGAAUAUUGGACAAUGGGGGGAACCCUGAUCCAGCGACGCCGCGUGAGUGAAGAAGUAUUUCGGUAUGUAAAGCUCUAUCAGUAGGGAAGUAAGAAAUGACGGUACUUGACUAAGAAGCCUCGGCUAACUACGUGCCAGCAGCCGCGGUAAUACGUAGGGGGCAAGCGUUAUCCGGAUUGACUGGGUGUAAAGGGAGCGUAGACGGCGAUGUAAGUCUGAAGUGAAAGGCGGGGGCCCAACCUCCGAACUGCUUUUGAAACUGUAUGGCUGGAGUGCAGGAGAGGUAGGUGGAAUUCCUGGUGUAGCGGUGAAAUGCGUAGAUAUUAGGAGGAACACCAGUGGCGAAGGCGGCUUACUGGACUGUAACUGACGUUGAGGCUCGAAAGCGUGGGGAGCAAACAGGAUUAGAUACCCGAGUAGUC
rnacentral:rRNA from 1 species